CAAAGAGAUGUAAGUGAGGUUCCGGGUGCAGAGAUGUGACGUAGGUUUUGGGUGCAGAGAUGGGUGGGUGUGUCCGAGCUCCUGGCUAGGCAUCCGACCUUACAUUAAGUACUUAACUGAAGUAUAUAAUCUGAAGACUGGUUGUGCAGCCAGUCUUCAGAAAGUUUUUGUCUCUCAAAAGUGAAACUAUGUACACAUUAAAGAAUUCCCCAUUUCCCUCUUACCCCAGUCCCUGGAAACCAUCAUUCUACUUUGUUUCUAUGGAUCUGACUACUUUAGAUACCUUCUAUCAGUGGAACUAUAGUUAUUUGUCAUUUUGUAACCGGCUCAUUUCAUUUAGCAUUGCUAUAAAGAGAUACCUGAAAUUGGAUAAUUGAUAAGGAAAAGAUGACCCUUGAGGCUCAUCCAUGUUGUAGUAUAGUAUGUGGAAAUUUAUUUCCUUUUUCAGGCUGAAUAAUAUUGCAUUGUAGGUAUAGAACACAUUUGGCUUAUCCAUUGGAGACCACUUGGGUUGCUUUCAUUUUCUGACUCUUUUGAAUAAUGCUGUUAAUGAACUUGGGUGUAGAUCUUUUUUUUAAUUGAUGGGAGAAAUUGUUUUAAAAUACUCAAUUUGUUUCCUCAAUCUUUAAGAUUAUUAAAAUAACAUGGUGAAUAAAAUAAAGGAAGAAUGCAAGUUGUUAGGGUACUGGAGUUUUCAGGCUCCAGUCCAAAUGACUUGCAAGUUUGAGAACCAUUAGUAGAGUGAAUAGGACUUUUCUAGGUCCUCUUGGGUCUAUUAUGUUUACUUUUAUUAUAGUGAUUGUGUGUGUGGAAAUAAUGAACUUCCUCUUUGAUAGCCUCUAUGAUCCUUCAUCCUUGCAUUUUUGCCCUUUACAAUUUAUUUACAUUCCCCACUGUACUGUAAACUUGUUGAGUGUAGGGACCAAGUUAUUAAUUUCUAAAUAAUGCUUAGGACAAAUCCUGGCUCAUAAAGCAAAUGCAAUAAAUGAUGGAAUAGACAUUUGACUUAUUCUGUCAUUUGGAAAAAUUUAACUUCACAAUUAGUCUUGGAAUAAUUCAACAUUUUUAUUUGUUUUUAUCUGCUUCUUUUAUAUUUGAAACACCUCAUGUUUAGGAGCACAGAUUAGUUAUAAAUAUGUGGAAAUCAGUUGUUUUUUUUUUUUUUCCUAAACUCUUUUUGGGGAGAGGGAGAAACAUUUGUUGAAUACUUGGCAUCAAAUAGAGGAAAUAUCCAAGCCUUGACUUUAGUUUUGAUUUGAGUAAGUCCCUCUGAUGUUUCCACUGUGAAAUUGCUUUCCUCCCUGCCACCUCUUUGUGUGUCGCUUUGAGUUGUGCAGCUAGUGCUGUGAGUGCUGUUUUUGUAUCAGGGCAUAGAUUUCCCCCUCCAAGUUUUAGCUCUUAAGCUUUGUUUUCAUGCCCCCGACCUUCUCCUGAACCUCUCCAACAUCUUUAUAAUGUUCCAGAAAUAGAAACCUCCCAAAGUGGAUUGUGGUUUGUAAUAAAGGCCCUUAAUCUUUAUUAUGUUGUUUCCCAUUGGUGGGCAGAAAGCCUGCAAAUAUAUUUAUUUUCAGAUGAUAGACAAUACUUGAGAGACUCAUGCCUAGGUGUCUGGACUCUGUUCAUUCAAAGAGCACCAAGCAUUAUGGCAGGCUCGGGCACUGGUGAAAUAGUGAUGAGGAAGAGUCUCUGUACUCUUACAAAGCUGAUAGUGAGAGAAAUAAAAAGGAAGUGGUGCCUUGACUGGGAAACACAGAGAGCUAGGGAAACUCAUAGGAAAGGGAGCUGACAUAGUUGGGUGGCGGUAGCAAGUACAAUCAUUAACUUCACACGUGAAGGAUGAGUAAGAAUUUGUCAGUUGAUGAGGAGGAAGAAGAGUGUCCUGGAAAGUGGGAACAGCACAUGUGGAAGCUAGGAGAUGAGCAAGAACAUGGCUUAGACAACAGAAGGAAGUACAUUAUUCCUAGAGUAGUGAGUCACCUUAGUUACAUGGAUAGUCCUGAAAUAUGCCGAAUUAUACCACUCUUGUUUCAGUGGACAGUCUCAUUGAUUCCAGUUUGUUAGCAGAAAUAUUGAAAAUGCAAUUUUUCUGUGCAUUAACAAGGAGGUUCCCUGGUAGGGAGAAAUAUAUGAAAGACAAGCAGGCUCAAUGGGAACUUAAUGCACUUGAUGAAAUGCUGAUUGUGAACAAAACUUCAGGAUACUAUCAUUAUAAAUGAAUGAAACUCAUUAGAUUUUAAGUAGAAGACUUUUUUUUUUUUGCUGCUAAGAUUAGAGGCCUCAGGAUUUUGUCAAUUGUGGACUCCAUGAUCAAAAAUCCAUAUAUGCGUCUGCAGCCAUGAUUUUUUUAUUAGUAACAAGAAUGAGGGAUAACUUCUUAACUAUUCAGAAUAUGGAUUAUUUAGCAGUAAGAUACAACAAGUCCAGAAAGCAGCUUAAUCAACUUUAUUCAUAUGAAAGUACAUAGUUAUAUGGCUAUUAUUAGUAGGCCAUGAAUUUUUAUUAAGUCAAAAAGAACACUGAUAUUUAACAGAUAAUGUCAUUCUUGACAGUCAAGAGGUAGUCAGGCAGAACACAACUCAUUUCUGGCUUCCACUAUAACACUCAUGUUGACUUUCAGCUUUGACUUCAGUAGUUGUGUGAAAGUAAAUGUGCAGAUUUUGCCACACAGGAAUUUCAGGAUAGUUCUAUUCAUAGCAUUUAUUCCUUCAAGGAAAGUGUAUUGGGUGCUGGCUCUCUGUCAGACUUGAUUCUAGGUGUUGGAAAAAUGUGACCAAGCCAAAGAUUGUCCCUGUCCUUGCAGGGCUCACAGUGUAGUGGGGAAGACAGA